UACGGGGGGGCAAGCGUUGUUCGGAAUUACUGGGCGUAAAGGGCUCGUAGGCGGCCAACUAAGUCAGACGUGAAAUCCCUCGGCUUAACCGGGGAACUGCCUCUGAUACUGGAUGGCUUGAGAUUGGGAGAGGGAUGCGGAAUUCCAGGUGUAGCGGUGAAAUGCGUAGAUAUCUGGAGGAACACCGGUGGCGAAGGCGGCAUCCUGGACCAACACUGACGCUGAGGAGCGAAAGCCAGGGGAGCAAACGGG
rnacentral:rRNA from 1 species